UUCCAAAAACAUCGCCUUCUGAUACUCAUAGAAGGUCCAGCCUGCCCAGUGACUAAGUUAAACGGCCGCGGUACCCUAACCGUGCAAAGGUAGCGCAAUCACUUGUUCUUUAAAUGAGGACUAGUAUGAACGGCAUCACGAGGGUUACACUGUCUCCCUAUUCCAUUCAGUGAAACUGAUCUUCCCGUGAAGAAGCGGGAAUAUAAAUAUUAGACGAGAAGACCCCAUGGAGCUUUAAACUCAGUGUCAUCUGCCACUUCAAUACCCUCUUAAUUACGCAGACCAUGAUAACUAGUUUUCGGUUGGGGUGACCGCGGAGUAAAACAAAACCUCCACAACGAAAGGAACUAACAACCUAAUCCAAGAGCAACAUCUCUAAGAAUCAACAAAUUGACUUAAUUGAUCCAAUUACUUGAUCAACGAACCAAGUUACCCUGGGGAUAACAGCGCAAUCCAUUUCAAGAGCUCAUAUCGACAAAUGGGUUUACGACCUCGAUGUUGGAUCAGGGUAUCCCAGUGGCGCAGCAGCUACUAACGG
rnacentral:rRNA from 1 species